rnacentral:lncRNA from 1 species
CUAAAUCGGAGCAAAAAGACCGGCCGAUUGGCUGAAAAUCGCGGGUAAAGUCUAGCGGUGCUGCCGCAGGAAAUUUCAUAAAAUGCCUCUGAUGAGACCCUUCUCGAUUCCCGUUCGGCAUAAUUUUUCCACCAUUGUGAUCACCAUUUCCUUCUCUACAAGUUGACUGGAGCAAAACACUAACCGUAAUGUGAGCUGGAGGAGCCGCCACACCGAAGAGCCCCGCCAUCGGUG